GUCAGGUACAAAACGUCGUGUCCUCCGCAAUGCUCUCGAUGCCUUUUUGCAGCAGAGGGCUUAGAACAUGCAGAACAAAGCUGCUCUGAAUGGACAUAUUAAUCGAGAUAACCAUGGUUACAUAUCUCAGCCCCAAGCAAUUAGGAACCCGGCAGCGAAUCUCCCUGGAGAUAAUCAAGUCAUAAAUCAAACAAAUUACGGUCUCAGGUUAAUGGCAUUCAAUUUUAUCAGACAUCGGUAAAUUGUCAAUCUUUGUUUUAUGAUGGAAGAUUUUUUUUGUCAUUUGUAGUACCUGAGACGUGAUAUGCUAUUUUUGUGUUUUUUUGCUGUGCGAAGAUGUUGUUUUCCUGUUUUAAGCUCUCAAUUGAGCCUAUGUUUAACAUUCUAAGCUGUUGAACCUUAUUUUUUGCAUUUGUAACUCCGUUGAGCUGCAUUAAGAUACAAGGCACCUUUACCACUUAAACCAUGGAAGGAAGAGGCUGACGGCAUUCCUGUGCUGCAACUUGAAGUGAUAAGUCUGCAAUCAUUUUAAGCCUUAUUUUGAGCGUUUCUUUAAGAUUUUCUAUGAUUUUAAAUAUGUAAGUUGAUAUGCAGGUUCUAGGAUGGAUGAUAA